CCAAUAGGGCCUUCUACGACCAACACAAUACUCGCAACCUCAUUGGCUACGUGCCAACGCGACCCGUUUGAAGGCAAUAGCGAAUCGAUCGAGCAACUGUGGCGCUGUCAAUUCGAACCCGACCGUUCCUGCGACGAGGAGAGAAGACUUCGAGCUGAGGAGGGGAUCGAGUGGAGGGGUGGGAGGCGUUAACGUGUGGCGUUCCCUCACCAAGUAAAGCCCACAAUUGACCGAAGCAUGAGAACGGGAUUCAAAGCACGAAGGCGGAAGUCCGUUUCUCCUGCUGUCACGAACACCUCGCUGCUGCAUUCUCCUCGGUCGUCCUCGGCCUCUUCCUCGUCCUCGUUGGAUCCACAUCAACUGACUGUGGCUCAC
rnacentral:lncRNA from 1 species